CCAAUAGGGAGGGCCAAUGGCCGGCGCAUACAUGGAUGCCGUGCUCGUGCGUCGUCGGCUCGUCCGCCACCAGAGACCGACGUGCCGAUACGCGCGCUCUCGUGGGCGUACUCGUGUUCGCGUUCCUUUCGAUUUUCACGCGUUCCCGUUCUUGUAAAGUUCUUUAAAAAAUGCCGAACCUGCUAAGGAAGGAGAAGGUGCGUCUGUCACGGUAGUUCUCUCGUGUCGCGCGGUGGUGUCUUUAGAACGUUACCACCAAAGUUUUUCUUCGCACGCGAUCGGUCUGUCCUACGGAUCAGUCUGUCUUUAUUCAUCCCCUCUCUAUCUAUCUAUUGCUAGAGAAAGAGCGAAGAAGGAAGGAGCAAAAGGAAGAAGGGAGCUAGCGUGUGCGCGAGAGAGAAAGAGAGAGAGAGAGAUUGAGUGAGUGAGUGAGUGAGUGAGUGAGUGAGUGAGUGAGUGAGUGCACCGGGGGAACAACCCCGGCGGCCUUAGCUACUCAAGGGUGUAGUAGCAUGGUGAAGACCGCCGUCUUGCUCGUUUCUUGACCCGACCGUCCGUAUACAUCGCAAAAUCGGCUCUUCAACUAUCUGUCCGUUGCGAAAAAGAAAGAAAGAAAGAGAGAGAGAGAGAGAGAGAGAGAGAAAAAGAAGGUUCGCUCCGCUCUAGUAAGAGUCCCCCGUCGACUCGUACGGAAUCGAAUCCAUCGUCGGCCUAUUAAAAGCGGUCGUGUGAGUUUCGACUACUCUCUCGCGUGUCUCGGGCCCCGUCGCACACGAUACAAUAAUGGAAACGUCGUCGAAGACCAGCAAGGACAAGGGAAAGAACGGCAACAAGGAUGUCGAGGCCGGCGACGAGGUGAGGUUAUAUCUCGUUUCUCUACGCUCUUUCCCCCUCUCUUCUGUCGCCUUCUCCUCCUCCUCCUCCU